AUUGAACGCUGGCGGCAGGCUUAACACAUGCAAGUCGAGCGAGCGGCGGACGGGUGAGUAAUGUCUGGGAAACUGCCUGAUGGAGGGGGAUAACUACUGGAAACGGUUGCUAAUACCGCAUACCAUCAGAUGUGCCCAGAUGGGCUUAGCUAGUAGGGGGGGUAAUGGCUCACCUAGGCGACGAUCCCUAGCUGGUCUGAGAGGAUGACCAGCCACACUGGAACUUAGACACGGUCCAGACGCCUACGUGAGGCAGCAGUGGGGAAUAGUGCACAAUGGGCGCAAGCCUGAUGCAGCCAUGCAGCGUGUGUGAAGAAGGCCUUCGGGUUGUAAAGCACUUUCAGCGAGGAGGCGUUACUCGCAGAAGAAGCACCGGCUAACUCCGUGCCAGCAGCCGCGGUAAUUC
rnacentral:rRNA from 1 species